UCAUUUCAAGCAGACGCCAAGCAUCAAUAGCGUGGUCUGUGCUAUGUGAUUGCAUUGUUACUGCUGGAGUGAGCAAUUUCAGAUUGCGUCAUGAUGGCGUGCCCCGUUAGCGUCGUGAUCGGCGUGCCCUGUUAGCGUCAUGGUUGGCGUGCCCUGUGUUAGCGUCAUGAUUGGCGUGCCCUGUGUUAACACGAUAUGUUUUAUUUAUUCGUGUGCUGUGAUUUCAACACCAGCAUUGGUCAGAGGAGACUCGCAAGCAGCAAGGAAAGGAGGCUGCUCUUCAUCGGCCAGAAGUUUGAUACAAAGGAGUACACAAGUUGAUUUCAUUACUUAUGGGCAGCAAUUUUAUCGAGCCAUGACAUCUGAGUAAGAUUUCAUUUUUGUAUUAUAUUAUGGUUUGACUUUAUUAAUUGGUCUAACCUUUUUUUAAAAUUCAAUUUCCGUUAUCCUGCUUAUGGUGACCUGUCACUUGAUGAUAAGCCAAACCUAAGUUGCCUCUAGGAAUUAUGAAUGUCAAAUUUGGGACACAUCUGUGCAGUCUUUUUAUCGAGCUCUGACAUCUGAUUGCUAUGCUAUGGUAUGCUUCUGUUGCUAUACUCCAUGUCUUUGGUGCCCUCUCCCUCUAUGAUAAGCCAAAGCUAAGCUACGUAAACAAGUUGAUUGCAUUAUUUGUCACACAACAACACAAUGAUUUAAAUUGAUAAUA